GCAUUAAUGGGGUAGUGGUAACCUGGGUCGUUGCCAUUCGUUAAGCUCGACCCGCCGGGGGUUCGAUUCCCUCUUAAUGCA